rnacentral:rRNA from 1 species
GAUGAACGCUGGCGGCGUGCCUAAUACAUGCAAGUCGAGCGAACAGAUGAGGAGCUUGCUCCUCUGACGUUAGCGGCGGACGGGUGAGUAACACGUGGAUAACCUACCUAUAAGACUGGGAUAACUUCGGGAAACCGGAGCUAAUACCGGAUAAUAUAUUGAACCGCAUGGUUCAAUAGUGAAAGACGGUUUUGCUGUCACUUAUAGAUGGAUCCGCGCCGCAUUAGCUAGUUGGUAAGGUAACGGCUUACCAAGGCAACGAUGCGUAGCCGACCUGAGAGGGUGAUCGGCCACACUGGAACUGAGUCACGGUCCAGACUCCUGAGGGAGGCAGCAGUAGGGAAUCUUCCGCAAUGGGCGAAAGCCUGACGGAGCAACGCCGCGUGAGUGAUGAAGGUCUUCGGAUCGUAAAACUCUGUUAUUAGGGAAGAACAAAUGUGUAAGUAACUAUGCACGUCUUGACGGUACCUAAUCAGAAAGCCACGGCUAACUACGUG